AUACGGAGGGUCCGAGCGUUAAUCGGAAUUACUGGGCGUAAAGCGCGCGUAGGUGGAUGUAUAAGUCAGAUGUGAAAGCCCUGGGCUCAACCUAGGAACUGCAUUUGAAACUGUACGUCUAGAGUAUGGUAGAGGUGAGUGGAAUUUCAGGUGUAGCGGUGAAAUGCGUAGAGAUCUGAAGGAACAUCAGUGGCGAAGGCGACUCACUGGGCCAUUACUGACACUGAGGUGCGAAGGCGUGGGUAGCAAACAGGAUUAGAUACCCUAGUAGUCC
rnacentral:rRNA from 1 species